rnacentral:rRNA from 1 species
UACUAUAGCUUGACACUGAACAUUGAGCCUUGAUGUGUAGGAUAGGUGGGAGGCUUUGAAGCGUGGACGCCAGUCUGCGUGGAGCCAACCUUGAAAUACCACCCUUUAAUGUUUGAUGUUCUAACGUAGGCCCCUGACCGGGGUUGCGGACAGUGUCUGGUGGGUAGUUUGACUGGGGCGGUCUCCUCCCAAAGCGUAACGGAGGAGCACGAAGGUUAGCUAAUCCUGGUCGGACAUCAGGAGGUUAGUGCAAUG